ACAAACACACAAUGAGUCAUACACACACACACACACACACACACACAGUGUAUCUGCUCGCAUUUCUUCCAUUUUGUAGGCCUAGAUGUAUGUAAAAGUUCAUAUAAUUGAUCAUCGCUAUUUGGAAUGAUUAUUUCUUCGCCUAUUCCAGAACACCCCCACUUUUGGAAAGCUUGAUACGCCCCUGAUUGUGGUUUCGGAUCAGUUUAAUACUACAGUGUGCACAGUGAUCUGGGAGCAGCUUUAUGAGGCUGUGCUUCUGCAUGGACAUGUACAGCAUCAUAAAUCCCCUGCAUGUUAAUGGGUUGAUGUGCAAUGAGAUAGAUGAACAGCAAUGCUGAACAGUGCAUGAUACAGCCAGCACAGUUAAAUGACACAAAGAAAUAAAUAACACUAUUUAUUUAGCUUCUAUUUCUACUCAGGGAAGAUUCAAAGUGAGCAAUCAAACCCUGGUUGGAUGUGUCAUUUAGCCCUUUGAGUGUGGUGUAUGUGAUAAUGCGUAGCAUAGCUCAGGGCAGACAUUGUAGGCAUCAGCUCUAGCCAAAGGCCAGGUUCAAUGAAGUGGACUGAAAUAUGUUCCCACCUGAAUGGUGCUUUGGCUGUGCAGUUCACAUGCACAGUUUGUCCACAUGCACCUAUUCAUCCCCCAGCGAUUGUAGCCCAGCUUCUUUUAGGUUUUAGAUUUUAGAUAUGUUAAGUUUAAGUCUACCUUCCUUUUUUUACGUGAACUUGCCUCACUGUUUAAAUAAUGUCUGCCUCUGACUCAUCAAUUGUUUACUUAUAUUCCUCAGGGCCCGAAAGGACCAAGAGGUGAAAGGGGACCCCAGGGCCCUGACGGGAGGGACGGCAGACCUGGCAACCCCGGCCCUGCUGGGCCCCCAGGACCCCCUGGCCUCGGCGGAAACUUUGCUGCUCAGUAUGAUCACAACAAAGGCGCUGAUAUUGGUCCCGGCCCCAUGGGAAUGAUGGGAAUGAAAGGCCAACCUGGACUUCCCGGCCCCCCUGGAGAAGGAGUGAUAAUCCCUUGAGUCCGGACUUGGUUCCAUCUCUUUUCAACUACGUUCCAUCUCCAGAGAAGAGGAAAAGAAAAAUGAGACUGGAGGUUUUCAACAGACGACAGGGAGCAAAGCUACAGAAGAUGGAGCAGACAAAGCUAUCUGCGAAAGCCAUCCCUCCCAGAGCAUCAACAGAUUGUCCCCAAGGCUGCAACAAGGAUCCUACUGCAGAGCAAAGUCCCACCACAGAGCCUUUGAAGGAAUCUACCCAUGAAGAACCUGGAAACGAUGUCCAGCCUGUUCUCCAUGAGGAGGAUCCAGCAACCCCACCAUGCACCACUGAAACCUGUGGUAAACGCGUCCAAUCUCUUGAGCAAGAAUGCCAAGCUCUGAGGACUGAAAAUAUGUUGUUGAAGGAAAAAAUGAAUAGGACUACACUGAAUGAGAUGAGCUUGCAUAACGAUGAUAAAAGGGUUCAUACUCUCACUGGUUUAUCAGCAUUCUCCAUUCUCAUGACAAUUUUUCAUAUUGUGGCUCCUUUUCUCCCACUUAAAUCUAGUUUAACAUGUUUUCAGCAGUACAUGUUAACUUUAAUUAAGCUUAGAAUGAACUUGUCCUUUGAGUUUUGGGCUUUUUCAUUUUGACAUUGACUCAACCACUGUUUCAAAGCUCUUCAAACACUGCAUUAGUGUGAUGCAUUGUAGACUGGUGCCAAGUCUGGUGUUGUUGCCUGACAGAAUACUUAAGAAAAUCUCUUCCAUAUGCAUUUCGAAACCGUAGCUUUGAAAAGACAGUUUGCAUUAUAGAUUGUUUUGAAAUAUUUCUAGAGAAACCCAGUAGAUUGCUAGCCAGUGCUCAGUGUUACUCAUCAUACAAAUCACACCACACAAUGAAAUAUUUAAUUGCAAUUUGCCCUCGAGGUUCCAUUUGUUUCAUUUCCGCUGGAUGGGGAGGUCGCACAAGUGAUACGUUUAUCACAGAACAAAGUCACUUUUUAUCUCAUUUGCUCCCAGGGGACGUAGUUUUAGCGGACAGAGGUUGUCUGGUUAAAGAGUCCAUUGAGAGAUGCCAAGCUGAAUUAAAAAUUCCAGCAUUUACUCGUGGAUAGAAGCAGUUAGAUCCUGCUGACUUGGAGAACACCAGACGUCUAGCCUCUCUUAGGAUACAUAUUGAAAGAGUGAUAGGAGUUCUCCGUCAAAAGUACACAGUCUUGCAAAGCACUGUCCCCAUAUGUUUCACGGACAUAGACAGGGAAAAUGAUGUGACCUACCUUGACAAGAUGGUGAGCGUGUGUUGUGCACUUACAAAUGUGUCUGAAUCUCUGGUGUCCUUCCAGUGAUGGGGAUGUACAGUAAAUUGAACUGAUGUGACUGGCUACAGAUGUGCUCAACCAGCAAAUAAACCUUUGUGACUCACACUUCUUGCUUGCUUGUCGUGACAUUAUUUUUAAUCACUCGCUAUUCUGAUGCGAUCACAUCGUUUCUCUUUGCAGAUCAAGCUGCACAUCCACCCAUUCUAACUUGAGUUCCACCCAAACAGAUAUUUGUUCUGGUGUGUUUUAUAUGAAUGACCCACCCAUGUUUCAUAUCCCUGAUUGCUACAGAUAUCUAAUACAAAUUAUGGGGAAGAGAACAAUAUUGGUUUAACAACUGUUUAUUCAUAAAUAACAGUACAGUAUCAGCUACUACAAACAACUCAUUUCACAGUCUCCUCACUAAGGUUUUCUUCUUUGGGCAUUGAUCACUUUUCGGCAGAUGGGACAUAGCCACUGUUUUGGGACCCUUUUCAUGCGAAGGCAGGUCUGGUGAAACUUUUUAACUGAACAAAAACCUGACGCACAGACCACCAUGUUCCCUGCUUCUGGCUCAGGGCAGUAGCACCACUGUUGUUGACUAUGAUCAGCAAAUGCUGCUGCUGCUGGUGCUGGUUUCUGUGCAGAAAAACACUUUACUGCCUAAUUAACAGAAAGGUCCUUUGCAGAAAAUGGGCACUUAAUUUCUAUGACACCUGAACCACAGCAGCUACAGGAAAC